AUGAUUUUCUUAGCCUGGAACUGCCGAGGAUUGGGGUUGGACUCGGCAGUUGGCAAGCUUAGGGACCUGGUUAGGUCAUACAACCCAGAGGUGGUGUUUCUGUCGGAAACGAAGAAACGUGCGGGGGCAAUGGAGAGAUUAAAAUGGAAGUUGGGUUUCAAUCAUGGUGUGGCGGUGGACUGUAAGGGCAAGAGUGGUGGUUUGACGCUGUGGUGGAGAGAUCAUGUUGAUGUUACAGUGCGACCUUGGUGUCAGUAUUACAUCGAUGCAAAGAUUGUGGUUGAUGGGUUUUCCUUUAGAUUCACUGGAAUCUAUGGAGAACCAUGUAUGGACAAGAGAACGUAA
rnacentral:rRNA from 1 species